CCGUCGUUCGGCGGACGGGGAUGAAGCUGCAAGUCAGUCCUUCGGUGGUUGUCGAACUAGUAAUACGCGAGUGAGUGUGGUACAACAAAUAUUCGUUCGUGCAUACUUCAUACGUCCCAGAGAUCAGUUAUACAAGUAAUUCAGGCGGUUGAAACAAUUUAUUCAUUCUUACUAGUCAUUUGUUUAAACUAUCAAUAUAAGAGAUAUACUAAACCAACGGAAGACGAAAGCAGUUCCAACAGCCUGGAUGUAUUGCAAAGGAGCCGAAUUGACUUAUACUUGAAUUGUAAUUCCAAAGAAGAACUACGCUCCACCAGAUAAUAAAACAUUACACAUCCAAAGUGAAACUCAUCUAUAUUGACACUUUCUGUUAUUCCGUACACCCGACGAUGUCUUACAGGAAGAGUAAAAAUCUAGCCAGACCAUCAACAAGAAUAAUUUAUGAAAAAAUUAUCCUUUUUACAUUUAUUGUAAAAUGGGAAAUCGAUCAACGCUGUGUUUAGUUAAUGAUUUUAUGCAGUCGAAGAAAGUAUUUUUAUUUAUAAGUGAAUUUAUCACAAAUAUUCCAAAUGGUAUGAAACCCAAAGUGGGGUAAUUAUCCGGUAAUUUCUAUAAUAUAGAAAUGACACUUUCUAAUAAGUCUUAUACAAAUGGCUACUGCUAAAUUUUGAAGAAUAUUGAUGGAAUAAUAGAAUGACUAGUGAUAAUGGUGUUUAAACCGUCUUUAUUACUUGUAAAGCUGUUCUUUCGGACGUAUGAUAGCUAGGGAUUAUUUCGCGUAUGACACACACUUGCGUAUUACUGGAUCGAAAAUCACGGAAGGAAUGACUUCUCCUAGUUAAAUUAGUCCCAUGUCAUCAGGAUAGAAGACCAAGCUUCCUAGAUUCUAAUUUUAUAACUAGAACGCAUGGGGAUAAAAAAUCUCCCCUAUCCUAUAGUUAUGUAAUUAUAUUUAUAUAUAUUCUAUGUUCACGUGAAAUUAUC